GCGGGAGUAGCUCAGUGGUAGAGCGUUAGCCUUCCAAGCUGAGGGUCGCGGGUUCGAAUCCCGUCUCCCGCUCCA
rnacentral:tRNA from 1 species